GGCAACAUGGUGUAAUGGUUAUGCCAAAGUCGUUCUGUUGACUUAUGGCAUCAAGGCCUGGGUUCGAUUCCCACUGCUGCCG